UUCUUCAGGGUUGGGUGCGAUUCCCUACUGGCGGUAUAGUCCGCGACCCCAAGAGUGAUCUCUUGGGCUGACUCGGUGUAACUCCGGGACCAACAGUACAGUCUGGAUGAAAGAAGAA
rnacentral:ncRNA from 1 species